rnacentral:rRNA from 1 species
AGUCGAGCGCGAAAGGUCUUCGGAGCUGAGUAGAGCGGCGGACGGGUGAGUAACGCGUGGGAAAUUGCCCAGUAGUGGGGGACAACAACCGGAAACGGUUGCUAAUACCGCAUACGCCCUACGGGGGAAAGCGGGGGAUCUUCGGACCUCGUGCUAUUGGAUAUGCCCGCGUCGGAUUAGCUUGUUGGUGAGGUAAUGGCUCACCAAGGCGACGAUCCGUAGCUGGUCUGAGAGGAUGAUCAGCCACACUGGGACUGAGACACGGCCCAGACUCCUACGGGAGGCAGCAGUGGGGAAUAUUGCACAAUGGGGGAAACCCUGAUGCAGCCAUGCCGCGUGUGUGAAGAAGGCCUUCGGGUUGUAAAGCACUUUCAGUAGGGAGGAAGGCCUGUAGAUUAAUACUCUGCAGGAUUGACGUUACCUACAGAAGAAGCACCGGCUAACUCCGUGCCAGCAGCCGCGGUAAUACGGAGGGUGCGAGCGUUAAUCGGAAUUACUGGGCGUAAAGCGCGCGUAGCGGUUAGUUAAGCUGGAUGUGAAAGCCCCGGGCUCAACCUGGGACUGCAUUCAGAACUGGCUGGCUAGAGUACGAGAGAGGGUAGUGGAAUUUCCUGUGUAGCGGUGAAUGCGUAGAUUAGGAAGGAACAUCAGUGGCGAAGCGACUGCCUGGCUCGAUCUGACGCUUAGGUGCGAAGCGUGGGAGCAACAGGAUUAGAUACCUGGUAGUC